GGGUUGUGAGGUUAAGCGACUAAGCGUACACGGUGGAUGCCCUGGCAGUCAGAGGCGAUGAAGGACGUGCUAAUCUGCGAUAAGCGCCGGUAAGGUGAUAUGAACCGUUAUAACCGGCGAUUUCCGAAUGGGGAAACCCAGUGUGAUUCGUCACACUAUCAUUAACUGAAUCCAUAGGUUAAUGAGGCGAACCGGGGGAACUGAAACAUCUAAGUACCCCGAGGAAAAGAAAUCAACCGAGAUUCCCCCAGUAGCGGCGAGCGAACGGGGAGGAGCCCAGAGCCUGAAUCAGCAUGUGUGUUAGUGGAAGCGUCUGGAAAGGCGCGCGAUACAGGGUGACAGCCCCGUACACAAAAGCGCAUGUGCUGUGAGCUCGAUGAGUAGGGCGGGACACGUGGUAUCCUGUCUGAAUAUGGGGGGACCAUCCUCCAAGGCUAAAUACUCCUGACUGACCGAUAGUGAACCAGUACCGUGAGGGAAAGGCGAAAAGAACCCCGGCGAGGGGAGUGAAAAAGAACCUGAAACCGUGUACGUACAAGCAGUGGGAGCACCCUUCGGGGUGUGACUGCGUACCUUUUGUAUAAUGGGUCAGCGACUUAUAUUCUGUAGCAAGGUUAACCGUAUAGGGGAGCCGGAGGGAAACCGAGUCUUAAUUGGGCGUUAAGUUGCAGGGUAUAGACCCGAAACCCGGUGAUCUAGCCAUGGGCAGGUUGAAGGUUGGGUAACACUAACUGGAGGACCGAACCGACUAAUGUUGAAAAAUUAGCGGAUGACCUGUGGCUGGGGGUGAAAGGCCAAUCAAACCGGGAGAUAGCUGGUUCUCCCCGAAAGCUAUUUAGGUAGCGCCUCGUGAAUUCAUCUCCGGGGGUAGAGCACUGUUUCGGCUAGGGGGCCAUCCCGGCUUACCAACCCGAUGCAAACUGCGAAUACCGGAGAAUGUUAUCACGGGAGACACACGGCGGGUGCUAACGUCCGUCGUGAAGAGGGAAACAACCCAGACCGCCAGCUAAGGUCCCAAAGUCAUGGUUAAGUGGGAAACGAUGUGGGAAGGCCCAGACAGCCAGGAUGUUGGCUUAGAAGCAGCCAUCAUUUAAAGAAAGCGUAAUAGCUCACUGGUCGAGUCGGCCUGCGCGGAAGAUGUAACGGGGCUAAACCAUGCACCGAAGCUGCGGCGAACGUAUCACCCAAGACAACUUUACGGAGUUGACGAUUGACGGAGCGAAGCGACGUCAAAGCGUUCAUUAAAGUCGAGUUGGCUUAGGGAUACGUUCGUUGGGUAGGGGAGCGUUCUGUAAGCCUGUGAAGGUGUGUCGUGAGGCAUGCUGGAGGUAUCAGAAGUGCGAAUGCUGACAUAAGUAACGAUAAAGCGGGUGAAAAGCCCGCUCGCCGGAAGACCAAGGGUUCCUGUCCAACGUUAAUCGGGGCAGGGUGAGUCGACCCCUAAGGCGAGGCCGAAAGGCGUAGUCGAUGGGAAACGGGUUAAUAUUCCCGUACUUGGUGUUACUGCGAAGGGGGGACGGAGAAGGCUAUGUUGGCCGGGCGACGGUUGUCCCGGUUUAAGCGUGUAGGUGUGUGUUCCAGGUAAAUCCGGUUCACUUUAACACUGAGGCGUGACGACGAGGCACUACGGUGCUGAAGCAACAAAUGCCCUGCUUCCAGGAAAAGCCUCUAAGCAUCAGGUAACACGAAAUCGUACCCCAAACCGACACAGGUGGUCAGGUAGAGAAUACCAAGGCGCUUGAGAGAACUCGGGUGAAGGAACUAGGCAAAAUGGUGCCGUAACUUCGGGAGAAGGCACGCUGACACGUAGGUGAAGUGAUUUACUCAUGGAGCUGAAGUCAGUCGAAGAUACCAGCUGGCUGCAACUGUUUAUUAAAACACAGCACUGUGCAAACACGAAAGUGGACGUAUACGGUGUGACGCCUGCCCGGUGCCGGAAGGUUAAUUGAUGGGGUCAGCGUAAGCGAAGCUCCUGAUCGAAGCCCCGGUAAACGGCGGCCGUAACUAUAACGGUCCUAAGGUAGCGAAAUUCCUUGUCGGGUAAGUUCCGACCUGCACGAAUGGCGUAAUGAUGGCCAGGCUGUCUCCACCCGAGACUCAGUGAAAUUGAACUCGCUGUGAAGAUGCAGUGUACCCGCGGCAAGACGGAAAGACCCCGUGAACCUUUACUAUAGCUUGACACUGAACAUUGAGCCUUGAUGUGUAGGAUAGGUGGGAGGCUUUGAAGUGUGGACGCCAGUCUGCAUGGAGCCGACCUUGAAAUACCACCCUUUAAUGUUUGAUGUUCUAACGUGGACCCGUAAUCCGGGUUGCGGACAGUGUCUGGUGGGUAGUUUGACUGGGGCGGUCUCCUCCUAAAGAGUAACGGAGGAGCACGAAGGUUGGCUAAUCCUGGUCGGACAUCAGGAGGUUAGUGCAAUGGCAUAAGCCAGCUUGACUGCGAGCGUGACGGCGCGAGCAGGUGCGAAAGCAGGUCAUAGUGAUCCGGUGGUUCUGAAUGGAAGGGCCAUCGCUCAACGGAUAAAAGGUACUCCGGGGAUAACAGGCUGAUACCGCCCAAGAGUUCAUAUCGACGGCGGUGUUUGGCACCUCGAUGUCGGCUCAUCACAUCCUGGGGCUGAAGUAGGUCCCAAGGGUAUGGCUGUUCGCCAUUUAAAGUGGUACGCGAGCUGGGUUUAGAACGUCGUGAGACAGUUCGGUCCCUAUCUGCCGUGGGCGCUGGAGAACUCCGGGGGGCAGCUCCUAGUACGAGAGGACCGGAGUGGACGCAUCACAGGUGAUCCGGUUGUCAUGCCAAAGGCACUGCCCGGUAGCUAAAUGCGGAAGACAUAAGAGCAGAAAGCACCCUGAGACUUAGAGUCUCCUGAAGGAACGUUGAAGACGACGACGUUGAUAGGCCGGGUGUGUAAGCGCAGCGAUGCGUUGAGCUAACCGGUACUAAUGAACCGUGAGGCUUAACCUUACAACGCCGAAG
rnacentral:rRNA from 1 species